UACGAAGGGGGCGAGCGUUGUUCGGAUUUACUGGGCGUAAAGGGCGCGCAGGCGGCGCAUUUUGUCAGGCGUGAAAGCCCCGGGCUUAACCUGGGAACUGCGUUUGAUACGGAUGGGCUAGAGUUCGGGAGAGGAGAGUGGAAUUCCCAGUGUAGAGGUGAAAUGCGUAGAUAUCUGGAGGAACACCGGUGGCGAAGGCGGCAUCCUGGACCGAUAUUGACGCUGAUGCGCGAAAGCCAGGGGAGCAAACGGG
rnacentral:rRNA from 1 species